rnacentral:rRNA from 1 species
GCGAACGGGUGAGUAACACGUGGGCAAUCUGCCCUUCACUCUGGGACAAGCCCUGGAAACGGGGUCUAAUACCGGAUAACACUCUGUCCCGCAUGGGACGGGGUUAAAAGCUCCGGCGGUGAAGGAUGAGCCCGCGGCCUAUCAGCUUGUUGGUGGGGUGAUGGCCUACCAAGGCGACGACGGGUAGCCGGCCUGAGAGGGCGACCGGCCACACUGGGACUGAGACACGGCCCAGACUCCUACGGGAGGCAGCAGUGGGGAAUAUUGCACAAUGGGCGAAAGCCUGAUGCAGCGACGCCGCGUGAGGGAUGACGGCCUUCGGGUUGUAAACCUCUUUCAGCAGGGAAGAAGCGAGAGUGACGGUACCUGCAGAAGAAGCGCCGGCUAACUACGUGCCAGCAGCCGCGGUAAUACGUAGGGCGCAAGCGUUGUCCGGAAUUAUUGGGCGUAAAGAGCUCGUAGGCGGCUUGUUGCGUCGGUUGUGAAAGCCCGGGGCUUAACCCCGGGUCUGCAGUCGAUACGGGCAGGCUAGAGUGUGGUAGGGGAGAUCGGAAUUCCUGGUGUAGCGGUGAAAUGCGCAGAUAUCAGGAGGAACACCGGUGGCGAAGGCGGAUCUCUGGGCCAUUACUGACGCUGAGGAGCGAAAGCGUGGGGAGCGAACAGGAUUAGAUACCCUGGUAGUCCA